UACAGAGGUGGCAAGCGUUGUUCGGAAUUACUGGGCGUAAAGGGCGCGUAGGCGGUCAGGUCAGUCCCGUGUGAAAUCCCUCGGCUCAACUGAGGAACUGCACGGGAAACUGCCUGGCUUGAGUUCGGGAGAGGGAAGCGGAAUUCCGGGUGGUAGCGGUGAAAUGCGUAGAUAUCCGGAGGAACACCGGUGGCGAAGGCGGCUCCUGGACCGACACUGACGCUGAGGCGCGAAAGCUAGGGGAGCAAACGGG
rnacentral:rRNA from 1 species